UGGGCGGGGGCCGGGGGCUCCGGACGGAGAUCUCCGCAGGGCCCGCUGGGAUCGGACGUUCUAACGCAUUCCGGCCGGUCCACCAGCCCUGGGUGUGCAUUAGGAAACCGGGUCCCCCAGUGACAAGCGGGCUCCCCUGUUUCAGUGAAGCACUUUCGGUGACAGCAGAGGCAAGUCCAAAAGACCAAAGUGAAGGUGGUUAUUGCCCUGGUUGGUUCCGACAGUAAAGGCAUUUGAAAGCCUUUGUACGGUGCAUGCGAUAGACUUACUCCUUCAUCUAUGGUGUACGGUUAGACCUAGAAACGUGUACCUGCGACGAGCAUAUGUGGAAAUGCACUUCCGAGGACCAGAAUAACUCAAGACUGCAAUUCUAUUCAGACGGAACAUAAAGGUCGACACUCAAACCACCGAGACACAUGGCCGGGAAGGACAAGGUAACUUCUUCCUGCUGGAGUCUGCAGAUGUCAGUCUCAGGUCUCUGGAAAACGUGGAACAGCCGACCCUCUGCAGUCUGGCUCCUGCCCUGGCUCCUGCUCAGAGCUCUGCCAGUGCGCGGAGCCUUCUGGAAGGAAAGGCCUUGCCAGCUCCCUUUGCUGGAAGAGUCUGCAGUUAAUUAAAGGCUCUCCUCUGAGCACACCUGUCUGGAGUCUGGUCGCUCGGCCGCAGGGAGCACCUGCCGGGCGCUCGGGCACCUGGGGAUGGAAUGUGCUGGACGUGCAGCGGCAGGUCAUAGCGGGAGCUCUAGCCCAGGACGGAGAGAAAACAGCGAGUGUGAGCUGAGCCUCCGCGAUGGCUGCUGGGAGGACUAUGGUCACGACGCGGUGCUGGGAACACAAGCCCAGUGUCUGAGGACGACGCUUCUGGAGAGGUCCAGUCACAGAGCAGAAGCUGGUCCCAUGAGGUGAACAGAAAACCCAGAAAUGCUCAGCAAGAUCUCAGGACGAAGGGUUUGUACCAAAACUAUGUGAAAGCUACCUCGACCAAGAAGUCCCUGGGCUAAUGUUCACCAGAUGGGCUGCCGCGUGCAUGGCCUUCUCUGCAGGACGCAUCGGACUCCUGCCCAGAUGGGCAGGGAGCUUCCUGAAAAUGGACAGGGUGGGGGCAAGACGGCGUGUUAUUGCCCCUAGAGCCGCCGACACGUAGAAAUGAAGAGAAGAAACCGUUCCUCUAUCCAAACUGUUUUCAGGUUGAAGGACAUUGGAUGAGAAAUCCUGAUCAGAAGAAGCUUCUGGCUACCAGUCUUCACCACCACCGCUUUGGACACAAAAUCAAAAAGACCAGCUGGAAUGGAAUGAUAUGCAUACCAGCAAUAUUUCUUACUCUCAUCACAUUUUGUGCAAAAUAAACACCUAAUAGUUUAAGAA